rnacentral:lncRNA from 1 species
UUAUUUUGAGAGUGUUUUUACUGAUGAGAGAGCGAAUGAUAAACCUUAAAUCUUUCUCAAUUUAUAAACAAUUGGGAGAUUCCAAAAAAAAUCAAAUUUAUCAUUCGCGCUCUCAUCAUUAUGAACGCCUUCAAAUCCUGAUUUCAAAUAAAUGGGGAAAAUCAUCUCUUUUCAAUAUAUGCGGAACUCGGAUCCUUCUCAGAAAUCAAAGCCCAAGAUUUCAAGUGCAUAAAUAUCUUAAACGUAUUAAGUCCAUUUGAAUUAUUGUUCUCAACUUAAGAGAAAGCGGUUAAGGUAAUUUUUUUUUCCCAAUUUUCUGAACACAUAAUCACAAUUAUUAUUAUUGUUAUUGUUUGCAAGAUUGUUUAACUUUGUUCCUUCCUUUUUUCUUUUUUUUUGGUAUUUUUCUCAACAGAUAAUCGACAUUAUUAUUCUUCUUAUUCUUCUUGUUUAGGAAUUGCAUAUUCUUGUUAAUAUUAUUUCGAAGUUGACUCUUAAUUGAGGCAGCCGCAAAACUAGUGUUAUUUCUCGUAGAAGAAAGUACAUUAUUUAUAGACUUUUACUACUCCCUUUUUCUUAACUUCGAUGCUUCAUUGAUAGAGUUGAGUUGGAUUAGACUAAAACAUUAACGGGGUGAAUAAAAUCUUAGUUUAUAUUGCACAGGGGUUCAAAUAUAAUUAAAUUUCGAGUAUGAUUUAAUCUGUCGAAUCCACAUCGAGGAGAAAUUGCUAAUUGGAUUUUACACCGUAAACACCGAGGUGGCUUUUGUUUCUUGACGCAGAAUGCUUUUUACUUGUUCUAUUUAGAUUUGCAGUUGCAGUUAUAUAUUAUUUGUAUGGUUAAUCGGGUUUGGUUAUCCUCGUGACGAUCGGAAUCUGGCCUAUUGGCUUCUUUUGGCUCCCCACUGAGGCUUUUUAAUGUGUCUCAUUUCAGCUUGAUUUCUUUUUUUUUUUUUAUAUUAAAUCAUCUGGUAUCCGAGGAUCAUAUUGAACUUCAACUAAUCCAGAU